GACGAACGCUGGCGGCGUGCCUAACACAUGCAAGUCGAGCGGAGACAUGUUGCGGAAGUUUUCGGAUGGAAGCGAUAUGUUUUAGCGGCGGACGGGUGAGUAACGCGUGAGCAACCUUUCCUUCACAGGGGAAUAACGCACCGAAAGGUGCACUAAUACCGCAUGAGACCACAGCUCUGCAUGGAGCAGUGGCUAAAGGAGAAAUCCGCUGAUAGAUGAGCUUGCGUCUGAUUAGUUAGUUGGUGAGGUAACGGCCCACCAAGACGAUGAUCAGUAGCCGGACUGAGAGGUUGAACGGCCACAUUGGGACUGAGAUACGGCCCAG
rnacentral:rRNA from 1 species